rnacentral:rRNA from 1 species
GUGUCAGCAGCCGCGGUAAUACAGAGGGUGCGAGCGUUGUUCGGAAUUACUGGGCGUAAAGCGCGCGCAGGCGGCCUUUUAAGUCUCGUGGUGAAAUGCCGGGGCUCAACCCCGUGCCCGCCGGAGAUACUGGGAGGCUGGAGACGAGUAGAGGCAAGCGGAAUUCCGGGUGUAGCGGUGGAAUGCGUAGAGAUCCGGAAGAACACCGGAGGCGAAGGCGGCUUGCUGGGCUCAUGUCUGACGCUGAGGCGCGAAAGCGUGGGGAGCGAACAGGAUUAGAUACCCCUGUAGUCC